GAAAACCCUAUACAAAUCGUAAGGGUCAAGAAAAAACUGGGAAAAGCUGUCCAAAAGAGGGAAGAGCGUGUUCCACGACGUGCAGAAAGGAUUGUGGAAAGUUGAUUGAUGAGCGCAAGCUGCAUCUGUUCAACAGUUUCUACACUGUCCCAUACGAGAAACAACAAGCACAACCAGCAAAACCAUUCAAGGUGAUGAGGAUGCAAUGUGAAGACUUCAGUCACCUCCCAGAUUCUGUUCUCAAGCGACCAGCUGGACUACAGAUCACUUCAGUGAGGUGGUUAAAAGUCACAUGUAUUGCACAGAGAAUAGUUUACUAACAUCCCAUCAACAUGCAACAUGUUGUUCUAACAAUAAAAUAUCCUAAUGAUU